rnacentral:rRNA from 1 species
UACGUAGGGAGCGAGCGUUAUCCGGAAUUACUGGGCGUAAAGGGCGCGUAGGCGGUGACUCAAGUCGUUCGUUAAAUAUUGAGGCUUAACCUCAAGGAGCGGCCGAAACUGAGACACUGGAGACACAGAGAGGCAAACAGAAUUCCUGGUGUAGCGGUGAAAUGCGUAGAUAUCAGGAAGAAUACCGGUGGCGAAGGCGGUUUGCUGGAUGUGAUCUGACGCUGAAGCGCGAAAGCCGGGGGAGCGAACGGG